AUCACCGGAAAUUGUGACGUCGGCAGAAUAAGUCCAAGAGAAUAUUUGACGGGACGAUGACGGUGAUGUUGUAUGUGUAGCGCACUUAAUUCAUAUCGCAAAAAUCAACUAAUCAUUGGUAAUAUUUACCCAAAAAUCGUCAUAUAUACCAAUUUUUCCUAAGAGUGUAUAGUUCAUUGGUCGAAAAUACGGAAUAAUUAAAAAACCAAAUGGUAUCACUGGUAGUCCGCUAAACUGUCAUCUCAAACAAAAACAAAUGGACCAUAUAACUGACUAUGAUGUGAAAACAUCUGGCUUUUCUAUAGCCAUCAAUAGAAACUAGCCGGAAGAUGAUUUCCCCCAUUACCAGUCGCCAAACAACAAGAACAACAGUGCAGAUUUUCACCGUUGUCACAGGAGCCAACAACAUCUGCAAUUCCAAUCAGCAGUAUCCUCCAAACCCAUGCCGGGGACAGCAACAACAGCGGCAACAGCAGAAUCGAAUCCUCGGGCACAAAUGUGUAUCAAGGAAAUAAAAACUAUCAACGCAGGAGGUAUUUAUCAACGAGCUCAGCUGGACUCGAAUCGUCAAUCCGGAAACCCCGGAUUUAAAAAUUUCGCUGUAUUGUGGUUAUUUGUAUAUCACAAACACAUAUUGUUUUGUAAUACGUAUUUUUUCGAGUAAUAAAAUGACUAAAAUUGA